UACGGAGGGGGCUAGCGUUGUUCGGAAUUACUGGGCGUAAAGCGCGCGUAGGCGGAUCUGCAAGUCGGGGGUGAAAUCCCGAGGCUCAACCUCGGAACUGCCUUCGAUACUGCGGGUCUCGAGUCCGGGAGAGGUGAGUGGAAUUCCUGGUGUAGCGGUGAAAUGCGCAGAUAUCAGGAAGAACACCAAUGGCGAAGGCAGCUCUCUGGGACGGUACUGACACUGAGACGCGAAAGCGUGGGGAGCGAACAGG
rnacentral:rRNA from 1 species